GAUGAACGCUGGCGGCGUGCCUAAUACAUGCAAGUCGAGCGAACAGACGAGGAGCUUGCUCCUCUGACGUUAGCGGCGGACGGGUGAGUAACACGUGGAUAACCUACCUAUAAGACUGGGAUAACUUCGGGAAACCGGAGCUAAUACCGUAUAAUAUAUUGAACCGCAUGGUUCAAUAGUGAAAGACGGUUUUGCUGUCACUUAUAGAUGGAUCCGCGCCGCAUUAGCUAGUUGGUAAGGUAACGGCUUACCAAGGCGACGAUGCGUAGCCGACCUGAGAGGGUGAUAGGCCACACUGGAACUGAGACACGGUCAAGACGCCUACGGGAGGCAGCAGUAGGGAAUCUUCCGCAAAGGGCGAAAGCCUGACGGAGCAACGCCGCGUGAGUGAUGAAGGUCUUCGGAUCGUAAAACUCUGUUAUUAGGGAAGAACAAAUGUGUAAGUAACUAUGCACGUCUUGACGGUACCUAAUCAGAAAGCCACGGCUAACUACGUG
rnacentral:rRNA from 1 species